rnacentral:rRNA from 1 species
GAUGAACGCUAGCGGCAGGCUUAACACAUGCAAGUCGAGGGGUAGAGGCUUUCGGGCCUUGAGACCGGCGCACGGGUGCGUAACGCGUAUGCAAUCUGCCUUGUACUGGGGGAUAGCCCAGAGAAAUUUGGAUUAAUACCCCAUAGUAUUUUCGGUUGGCAUCAACUGAUUAUUAAAGUUUUUCGGUACAAGAUGAGCAUGCGUCCCAUUAGCUAGUUGGUAUGGUAACGGCAUACCAAGGCUACGAUGGGUAGGGGUCCUGAGAGGGAGAUCCCCCACACUGGUACUGAGACGCGGACCAGACUCCUACGGGAGGCAGCAGUGAGGAAUAUUGGUCAAUGGUCGCAAGACUGAACCAGCCAUGCCGCGUGCAGGAUGAAGCAUCUAUGGUGUGUAAACUGCUUUUGUACGGGAAGAAACACUGCUACGUGUAGCAGCUUGACGGUACCGUAAGAAUAAGGAUCGGCUAACUCCGUGCCAGCCGCCGCUGUAACAC